rnacentral:rRNA from 1 species
CCUACGGGAGUCUGCAGUGAGGAAUAUUGGUCAAUGGACGAGAGUCUGAACCAGCCAAGUAGCGUGAAGGAUGACUGCCCUAUGGGUUGUAAACUUCUUUUAUAUGGGAAUAAAACAGGGUAUGCAUACCCUCUUGUAUGUACCAUAUGAAUAAGGAUCGGCUAACUCCGUGCCAGCAGCCGCGGUAAUACGGAGGAUCCGAGCGUUAUCCGGUUUUAUUGGGUUUAAAGGGAGCGUAGGUGGAUUGUUAAGUCAGUUGUGAAAGUUUGCGGCUCAACCGUAAAAUUGCAGUUGAAACUGGCAGUCGUGAGUACAGUAGAGGUGGGCGGAAUUCGUGGUGUAGCGGUGAAAUGCUUAGAUAGCACGAAGAACUCCGAUUGCGAAGGCAGCUCACUGGACUGCAACUGACACUGAUGCUCGAAAGUGUGGGUAUCAAACAGGAUUAGAUACCCCUGUAGUC